rnacentral:rRNA from 1 species
AUUGAUCAGGACGUGCUUGCACUGAAUGAGAUUUUAACACGAAGUGAGUGGCGGACGGGUGAGUAACACGUGGGUAACCUGCCCAGAAGCAGGGGAUAACGCCUGGAAACAGAUGCUAAUACCGUAUAACAGAGAAAACCGCCUUGGUUUUCUUUUAAAAGAUGGCUCUGCUAUCACUUCUGGAUGGACCCGCGGCGCAUUAGCUAGUUGGUGAGGUAACGGCUCACCAAGGCGAUGAUGCGUAGCCGACCUGAGAGGGUAAUCGGCCACAUUGGGACUGAGACACGGCCCAGACUCCUACGGGAGGCAGCAGUAGGGAAUCUUCCACAAUGGACGUAAGUCUGAUGGAGCAACGCCGCGUGAGUGAAGAAGGGUUUCGGCUCGUAAAGCUCUGUUGUUAAAGAAGAACGUGGGUGAGAGUAACUGUUCACCCAGUGACGGUAUUUAACCAGAAAGCCACGGCUAACUACGUGCCAGCAGCCGCGGUAAUACGUAGGUGGCAAGCGUUAUCCGGAUUUAUUGGGCGUAAAGCGAGCGCAGGCGGUCUUUUAAGUCUAAUGUGAAAGCCUUCGGCUCAACCGAAGAAGUGCAUUGGAAACUGGGAGACUUGAGUGCAGAAGAGGACAGUGGAACUCCAUGUGUAGCGGUGAAAUGCGUAGAUAUAUGGAAGAACACCAGUGGCGAAGGCGGCUGUCUGGUCUGUAACUGACGCUGAGGCU